rnacentral:rRNA from 1 species
UACGAAGGGGGCUAGCGUUGCUCGGAAUCACUGGGCGUAAAGGGUGCGUAGGCGGGUCUUUAAGUCAGGGGUGAAAUCCUGGAGCUCAACUCCAGAACUGCCUUUGAUACUGAAGAUCUUGAGUCCGGGAGAGGUGAGUGGAACUGUGAGUGUAGAGGUGAAAUUCGUAGAUAUUCGCAAGAACACCAGUGGCGAAGGCGGCUCACUGGCCCGGUACUGACGCUGAGGCACGAAAGCGUGGG